rnacentral:sRNA from 1 species
GCACUCGUUGCAGGCGACGAUGCAGAGGGCUGUAAGUGUGGUGGCCCAUCUGGGCUCUCGCCUGCAGGCAUUCUCCCCGGCCUUGUGUCGUCCAUUUAGUUGCGCACAGGACACCGCUGUAUGACUUCCACCUGGCCCACGGCGGGAAAAUGGUGGCGUUUGCGGGUUGGAGUCUGCCAGUGCAGUACCGGGACAGUCACACUGACUCGCACCUGCACACACGCCAGCACUGCUCGCUCUUUGACGUGUCUCAUAUGCUGCAGACCAAGAUACUUGGUAGUGACCGGGUGAAGCUGAUGGAGAGUCUAGUGGUUGGAGACAUUGCAGAGCUAAGACCAAACCAGGGGACACUGUCGCUGUUUACCAACGAGGCUGGAGGCAUCUUAGAUGACUUGAUUGUAACCAGUACUUCUGAGGGCCACCUGUAUGUGGUGUCCAACGCUGGCUGCUGGGAGAAAGAUUUGGCCCUCAUGCAGGUAUACCCCCUCUGUGUUCUAGGCACCUUGUCUUCCUUGUUCAUAGAGCAGCAUCCUUGUUAUCCAAGACAGGGUUGGCACAGACAAAGGACCUGGAAAAUGGCUCUUUCAGUGAAUGAACAGCUAUGAGACUCAAGAGCAGGCCCUCUCUGGAGCAUGCCAGGGUUUGGUGGUGGGGGAUUACCAGGCAUGGGGAGGGGGUCUUGGCCCCUCUGGUGUGAGGUGGCAGACCUGGGCUUGGGUCAUCUCUAUCACUUAGUAGCUAUGUGACCUUGUAAGAUGGGAACCAGCCUACUACCUUUUUUUCCUCCCUCCUCCUCCUCCUCUCCACUGUCUUACUACUGUCCAGCUCUGCAGCGUCCAGCCCAUGGUAGCUGCUCAGUAAGUGGCCCCAGAUGCUCUUGUGUUUCUGUCUUUUAGGACAAGGUCAGGGAGCUUCAGAACCAGGGCAGAGAUGUGGGCCUGGAGGUGUUGGAUAAUGCCCUGCUAGCUCUGCAAGGCCCCACUGCAGCCCAGGUACUACAGGCCGGCGUGGCAGAUGACCUGAGGAAACUGCCCUUCAUGACCAGUGCUGUGAUGGAGGUGUUUGGCGUGUCUGGCUGCCGUGUGACCCGCUGUGGCUACACAGGAGAGGAUGGUGUGGAGAUCUCGGUGCCGGUAGCGGGGGCAGUUCACCUGGCAACAGCUCUUCUGAAAAACCCAGAGGUGAAGCUGGCAGGGCUGGCAGCCAGGGACAGCCUGCGCCUGGAGGCAGGCCUCUGCCUGUACGGGAAUGACAUUGAUGAACACACUACACCUGUGGAGGGCAGCCUCAGUUGGACACUGGGGAAGCGCCGCCGAGCUGCUAUGGACUUCCCUGGAGCCAAAGUCAUUGUUCCCCAGCUGAAGGGCAAGGUGCAGCGGAGGCGUGUGGGGUUGAUGUGUGAGGGGGCCCCCAUGCGGGCACACAGUCCCAUCCUGAACAUGGAGGGUACCAAGAUUGGUACUGUGACUAGUGGCUGCCCCUCGCCCUCUCUGAAGAAGAAUGUGGCGAUGGGUUAUGUGCCCUGCGAGUACAGUCGUCCAGGGACAAUGCUGCUGGUAGAGCUUCCUUCAGGACCCUGCUUCUGAGUGACGGACCAGCUCACACAAUGUCUUGUUUCAGUCCAUGAUCCCACUGACCUACUCUUGCCUGCUGGAGGGUAAUGAGAAGCUUUGGUUCUGCCAUCUCUCCCACUCUGCCAGGUGCUGGCUGUGGAGCAAAGGCUCACCUUUGUGGGGAGGAUAAAACCUGCCCAACCUACCUCACCAUGGUUUUUCACAUUGCAAACGGUAAUAACAUGGGCAGUGUGGACUUAGGCUACCCCCUCCAGUUUGCUUUCCGUAAAUGCAAAUUGUCCCUACUGCAAGUCAGGAAUGAUUGCCGACUCACAGUAGGGCUGCUAUGCCUGUGUGUAAACUUGGGGAUGGCUGAGGGAACACAGACUCACUCUUCCGCAUUCCCAAGUUGGUCUAGUGUGCUGCCCAGUAGCAAACCAUGGCAGGCUCACCACCUAUUCUGAGCUCCAGGGCUGUUGUAGGGCAGGGUGGGCUUCCUCCCAGACUUGCCUUACCCUGGGCUGAUCUUUGCCCCUGGUAUGCAUUAAUGGACUC